CAGAGGGGGCAAGCGUUGUUCGGAAUUACUGGGCGUAAAGGGCGCGUAGGCGGCCCGCUAAGUCGAACGUGAAAUCCCCGGGCUCAACCCGGGAACUGCGUCCGAUACUGGUGGGCUCGAAUCCGGGAGAGGGAUGCGGAAUUCCAGGUGUAGCGGUGAAAUGCGUAGAUAUCUGGAGGAACACCGGUGGCGAAGGCGGCAUCCUGGACCGGUAUUGACGCUGAGGCGCGAAAGCCAGGGGAGCAAACGGGGUUAGAUACCCCGGUAGUCCUGGCCCUAAACGAUGAAUGCUUGGUGUGGCGGGUAUCGAUCCCUGCCGUGCCGAAGCUAACGCAUUAAGCAUUCCGCCUGGGGAGUACGGUCGCAAGGCUG
rnacentral:rRNA from 1 species